AGAAAAUACAGAGAAGACUGUCAAAAGAAAGUGUCACUACUCCUCAAAGACAACGAGGAAAUGAAAACCAAAGCUGCGGAACUGGCGUGCUAUAAACGCAGAUGGAACCUCAGAAUAAAUGGAAUGAAAGAGAAUCAUUCACACGAGGAAAAUACCAGAGAGGAAAUCAUCCGUCUUCUAGCAAAGAUUGCACCCCACUUGUCAGGGAAGCUCGAGGAUGUAGUGGAUGUUGUGCAUUGGAUAGGUCGGAAGGAGGAAAAGAAACAUAGACAGGUUUUUUGGUUAGCAGAACCUUUCCUUUUCAACGUGUUAGGUGACAGUGCAGAUGAUGCUUUGGAUUGGCCUUGAAAGAGUGGGAAGAAACUUUCUGACAGAAAGUGACGAGUGGACGAGCGAUUGUAAACGACAGAUCAAACUCGGCAAUGAAGGAGCACAAGCGAAUUUUUAAAUCAGCCACGCGAUCGGUCAUCGAGGCUCGGAUAUCUGCUGUGGCUGUUGCCCCCGGCAAACGUGAGGUGUGUUGAAUUGUUCGGACAGCUGCUUGAUGACUAGGGUCUAACUCGUGCCGUGGCAGCACUUUUUCCCCGCUAGUACCAUAUAAUAUUUUCCUUGCGCACAAAGUGCAGAAACAUGCUCCUGCUUGCCGGAGUUUUUGACACCAGCUUCCAAAGGGCUUUUCGUCUCUACCCACCUCCUCUAUCCAAGACCAGCGCCAUUUAUUCUUUAUGCCUUUAUCGACGAGUUUGGUGUCUUCCCCUGGCUUCAUAAAGUUGCGCUCCAUGACUUUUCGCGUUUCGAGCUGCCAGUGUGGGAAACAAAACAAAUUCGCACGUGGAGUGACAGCUGAAUCAAUCUGAUUGGCCAAAACCCAAGACCAGCCCCUACCCUAUUACCGAUUGGCUGAAGUAGGCUUACUGGUGUGGUUUAGUGAAAGCGCCACUCAGAUCUUGGGAAUUGUCAGAUCACGCGAACGCGAAACUGAUUUUUUUUUUUUUUUUCGCAGACACAUCUGUACGCCGGAAAUCCGGCGUGGCGCCGGAGCGCUAUCAGCCAUGCACUUGUGACAACUGCUCCCUCUGCUGCUUCACCUCCCCCUGCAGCGGAUGGGCUCCGGCGUUCGACGUCACCGGCCUUCUGACACCAUUGUCCAUCUCAUCAUGCUUUUCACCUGUGUCCUGUUUAACGCACCUGUUCCUCAUCCUCAUCAUUUCCCCCCAGUAUAUAUGUUCCCUCUGCUCCCCCUGUCUUUGUGUGUAAUUGUCUCUAUAUAUAAGAAAGAGCAGUGUACGCUUCGAUUCUAUUAAAAACACUGUAUAACGAUCACGCAAUUCUCCUGCUCCUCCUUUAUCCACCCCCCGAAGAUGUGACAUCACUGACGAAUUGUUUUGUUUUUAUAAGGAGUAAUAUUCCUCGUCUUACUCUUUUACUGAUUGCAAUGGUGUUUUUGAGAAGAUUAAAAUAAAUAUUCCUACUAUUGAUCUCCAGUUUAAAGAGGUCUGCGAGGAAAUGCUCAGAAUUGAAGAAUUAGACAAAGCUGUGGAGAAAUUAACCCCAAAUAAACCGCCUGGCAAUGAUGGCUUAACAUCACAUUUUUACAAGUUUUUUUGGAAUGAUUUAAGAGAGUUGAUCUUUAAUGCAUUCAAUGUAUUGAGAAUAAUUGUCUAAUGCCCACUAUGAAGCAAGGUACAAUUAUACUACUACCUAAACCCAGUAAAGAUAGCAAAUGCAUUGAUAACCUUAGGCCUAUUACCUUACUGAACAAUGACUAUGACAUGUUUGCCAAUAGAUUAAAGGACAGCAUAUCUCAAAUUGUAAGUGAGACACAAUCUGGUUUUAUAAAGGGGAGGUCAAUACACAAUAAUAUCCGACUGGUUCUUGACCUAAUAGACUAUGGGGAUAUGAUAGAGGAUAAUGGAUGAAUUUAUUUCUUGGACUUUAAGAAAGCUUUUGAUAUGGUGGAGCAUAACUUUCUUUUUGAGUGUCUUGAACAUUUUGGAUUUGGUCACAAGUUUCCUGAUACCAUGAAAAUGUUAUACUGUGACAUUAGCAGUUCAAUUUCCCUUCCUCAUGACAAGUCUCAA
ensembl:lncRNA